GGAGGGGCCUGCGCGCCCGCCCCGCGCUCUCCGUCCCCGCGCCGGCCUCAGCGCCCUCGCGCGCCGCAGCAUCCCAGCCGCCGCUGCCGCCGCCGGGCCUCCCCGCCACCCCCUCCCCGGCCCGGCCGCCUCCUGCCGCCGCCGCCGCCGCCGCCGCCGCCGCCGCCGCCAUUCCUGGCGCCCGAACUCGCCCGGCCGGGAGCCGCCGCGGGCAGGACGCGCGCUGCAGACUCUGCUAACACCAGAUAGUGGAAAGAAACCAUGUGCUGAAAUGUUUGACAACACUGAUGGUUUGCAUUUCUUCUGAGGCCCUGAAGAAGUAUCAAGUGGGCUUUGACAUUGUGGUGGUGAGAGCAACCUUUCCUCACCUGGAGAACUGGGAAAUGUGGAUUCUCAGGGACUGCGCUGUUCACGAGCUCCAGGCUGUGCUGCUGGCCCUGGUCCUGGGGCGCUGAGCCGCAUCUGCAAUAGCACACUUGCCCGGCCACCUGCUGCUGUGAGCCUUUGCUGCUGAAGCCCCUGGGGUCGCCUCUAUCUGAUGAGGAUGUGCACCCCCAUUAGGGGGCUGCUCAUGGCCCUUGCAGUGAUGUUUGGGACAGCGAUGGCAUUUGCACCCAUACCCCGGAUCACCUGGGAGCACAGAGAGGUGCGCCUGGUGCAGUUUCAUGAGCCAGACAUCUACAACUACUCAGCCUUGCUGCUGAGCGAGGACAAGGACACCUUGUACAUAGGUGCCCGGGAGGCGGUCUUCGCUGUGAACGCACUCAACAUCUCCGAGAAGCAGCAUGAGGUGUAUUGGAAGGUCUCAGAAGACAAAAAAGCAAAAUGUGCAGAAAAGGGGAAAUCAAAACAGACAGAGUGCCUCAACUACAUCCGGGUGCUGCAGCCACUCAGCGCCACUUCCCUUUACGUGUGUGGGACCAACGCAUUCCAGCCGGCCUGUGACCACCUGAACUUAACAUCCUUUAAGUUUCUGGGGAAAAAUGAAGAUGGCAAAGGAAGAUGUCCCUUUGACCCAGCACACAGCUACACAUCCGUCAUGGUUGAUGGAGAACUUUAUUCGGGGACGUCGUAUAAUUUUUUGGGAAGUGAACCCAUCAUCUCCCGAAAUUCUUCCCACAGUCCUCUGAGGACAGAAUACGCAAUCCCUUGGCUGAACGAGCCUAGUUUCGUGUUUGCUGAUGUGAUCCGAAAAAGCCCAGACAGCCCCGACGGCGAGGAUGACAGGGUCUACUUCUUCUUCACGGAGGUGUCUGUGGAGUAUGAGUUUGUGUUCAGGGUGCUGAUCCCACGGAUAGCAAGAGUAUGCAAGGGGGACCAGGGCGGCCUGAGGACCUUGCAGAAGAAAUGGACCUCCUUCCUGAAAGCCCGACUCAUCUGCUCCCGGCCAGACAGCGGCUUGGUCUUCAAUGUGCUGCGGGAUGUCUUCGUGCUCAGGUCCCCGGGCCUGAAGGUGCCUGUGUUCUAUGCACUCUUCACCCCACAGCUGAACAACGUGGGGCUGUCGGCAGUGUGCGCCUACAACCUGUCCACAGCCGAGGAGGUCUUCUCCCACGGGAAGUACAUGCAGAGCACCACAGUGGAGCAGUCCCACACCAAGUGGGUGCGCUAUAAUGGCCCGGUACCCAAGCCGCGGCCUGGAGCGUGCAUCGACAGCGAGGCACGGGCCGCCAACUACACCAGCUCCUUGAAUUUGCCAGACAAGACGCUGCAGUUCGUUAAAGACCACCCUUUGAUGGAUGACUCGGUAACCCCAAUAGACAACAGGCCCAGGUUAAUCAAGAAAGAUAUGAACUACACCCAGAUCGUGGUGGACCGGACCCAGGCCCUGGAUGGGACUGUCUAUGAUGUCAUGUUUGUCAGCACAGACCGGGGAGCUCUGCACAAAGCCAUCAGCCUCGAGCACGCUGUUCACAUCAUCGAGGAGACCCAGCUCUUCCAGGACUUUGAGCCAGUCCAGACCCUGCUGCUGUCUUCAAAGAAGGGCAACAGGUUUGUCUAUGCUGGCUCCAACUCGGGCGUGGUCCAGGCCCCGCUGGCCUUCUGUGGGAAGCACGGCACCUGCGAGGACUGUGUGCUGGCGCGGGACCCCUACUGCGCCUGGAACCCGCCCACAGCGACCUGCGUGGCUCUGCACCAGACCGAGAGCCCCAGCAGGGGUUUGAUUCAGGAGAUGAGCGGCGAUGCUUCUGUGUGCCCGGCCUCGUCUCCUAAGCCCCUCCCUCCUCCUGGCUCCUCUUCCCUGUCCUGUCUGGGCCAUGUGGGGGACAGGAGGCUUUCCUCUCCCUGGACCCCCUGGCCGGCCUCGGGUGCGGGGCCCGACAGCAGCUCGAGGGUCUCCUUGCUGCCGCCCUUCCUGAGUGACCAGGCACAGCACGUGCACGCCCUGGGGAACUUCUACCUCUUCUGCCAGGCCACAGAAAGAGAUGGAUAGUUUAAAAAGGAAUACAUGGAACGUAAGUACUUCUUUAACAUCUUUAAUGUCUUAUGAUGAUCAAGCACGUAUUUAAAUAGUAUUUACUGAUGCCUGUUAGCGGUGGUAAGCAUGUGUCUGUUUCUGCUCACACCCCGAGUGUAGAGCUUUGAGGGUUUUGCAGUCAGUGGUCCCAUGAUGGGGCGUUGGGUGAUUAAUCCAAUCCAGCUUAGGCCACCCAGAUUCUUAGUCAUGAGAACCUUCCAGAGGCUCCUGUGACUCAGUGACUCCAGUCCCCUGGGUGGUUCUUGGUGCAGGUCACAUGAGGGAGGAGACCGGGCUUUUAUAGAACUCACUUCACUGUCUGUUCAAAGAAAAGUGUUACUUGAUCAUAACAGCUCAAAAAAAUCUGUUUCUUAAAAUGAGAUUUUACCUGGAUGCCCAUCAGCUGGGAAAGGGAAUAUCUAUUCCCCAGUUGAUGGGCACCUAGAUGUACAUAGAGACAUAUGUUUGUACAUCUAUGUAAUAUGUACUUAUAUUUGUAGAUAGAUACAUGGAAUUAUCUGUGGCCAGAGUCCAAAACAUUUUGAGUGGGAAAAAACAAAUUAUAGAGUGUUAAGUUUGUUUUUUUUUUUAAUUCUGCACAAAAACCAAACCUGUUCACAAGGGCUUGUCCACCAGGCCAGGGCCAGAUGGGCCGCCAGGCAAAACAGUUUUGGAGCAUCUUCUGAAUUUCCUUGAGUUUACAGAAUGUUUCCUUCAAAGUAACACUUUUAUAAAAAAUUAUUAUUAUAAAAGCAAUGCUUGUUUGUUGUAAGUUUGGAAACUCCAGGGAAGUAUAAAGAAAAAAUUUAAACAAUCCCAAAUUUAACCAUCCAGAGGUAGUUACCACCAGCAUCCCGGCCAUUUUUAGGUCAUGACUAUCUACAUUCACACAUGUAUACAUGGGUGUGUACAUAUAUACACACACUCCUAGAUAUUCUUUCACUUAAUAGUAUUUUUCUGUGUUGCUGAAUAUUCUUCGAUGGCACUUCGAAUGAGUGACUUGUGGCCCCCUUCUUGGACAUUUCCCAACUCCUCACUGAUAGAAACAGGGCUUCACUGGGCCCAUGAUUGCCUCGGGACUCAUUCCUAGGACUGCCCAGCUAAAGGGUCUGAGCUUGGUCAAGUCCUUGGGAGGAGCAUUCUCUGGUGAUCCUGGACAGUGGGGAAUUGUUGACCAAGAGACUGGACAAAGAUGAGCAGAUGCCACAGUCAGUAAAGCAGGGAAAAUGCAUUACUAAAGUCAGCUUCAUUAAACUGGCGAUCUCUUCUUUUCAAAAAUCCAGCAUGUGCCACAGAAAUGGAAAGCUCUCUGGCCACUACUGUCCUGCCCAGGGAGGGAGCGUGGGUCCACCCACACCAUUUAAUACCUGUAACUGGAUGCACCUCUGCCCCUACACCUGAGAACAAGGCCAGUUUUUGUGUGUGCAGGUCCUGCAGACAUUCGCUUUGUCUGGGAGAAGAAUGGGCGAGCUCUGGAGACCUGUGUCCCUGUGCAGACCCAUGCACUGCCCAAUGGCAGGGCCCAUGCACUCAGCUGGCUGCAGGACGCCAUCAGGGAAAGCGCUGAGUAUCGCUGCUCUGUCCUCUCCUCAGCAGGGAACAAGACUUCGAAGGUGCAGGUUGCUGUGUUGAGACCUGAAGUGACCCACCAGGAGAAGUGGACCAGAGAGCUCUCCGCCUGGAGGGCUGUGGCUGGGGAGCACGACCGGAUGAUGCAGAGCUGGAGGAAGGCGUGGGAAAGCUGUAGCAAGGACACCCUGUAGCCACCAGGAAGGAGUCCCUGACACCGACCUCAACCCCAACAAGACCCUGCUGCCACUGACCACAGCCACCCCCGGAGAAGGCCUGGUCCCCCACAACUGUGAGCUGUCUUGCCCAAGCCUGCUCUGAACACAGCCAUUGGGCCACCACCUGAUGGGCAGAGGCGGGACAGUGGAGAAGCCUGGAACCCAAGUGGGCCUGUGACAGGAACUAAGACUUAAAAAAUUAGGUGCUUACCUGGGACAGUAAGUUCUGUCUGGCACAAGCAGGUAACCAGGAUGGCUAACAGGCUUCGAUAGCUGUUCGUGAACUAAAACAGCAGGGUGUGUGCAGGUUCCUCCUCUACGGUCAGGCAGCAGGCUCUGAAGGCUGAUCCUACACCGUCCCAGUGACUCCCCUUUACAGAGUGCCCCCACCCCCUAACAGCCAACAGGGUUAGCAUGGCCAGCACAGAUCACUGCUUUUAUUGAUGCAAAUCAAGCCUGCUGCUUCUCCUCCCUGCAGACUUAGCCAAGGAACUCCAAGAUGCAUGACCGGGACAAGAAAAGGUGAGACUCCACAUGGAAAUCCCUUGCCCUAAACCUUGAAUGACUGUGAGAUGCGAUCUAGGAGUGCAUCUGUCAAGUCUUUGUGUUUUCUUCACUAACCUCAGAAUACGGGGCUCUAUUUUAUCAAGCGCUGCAGUUUAUGCCUCUGUCCCGUCAAUGCUCAGCUUCUGCAACAGGACACCAAACUUGAUGCAGAAAGCCAAAUAGGUCAAUUAUGCAAAUCUCCUGGUGCCAUAUUAAAUUUCUUGACAAUGGAA